UGGCGCGGACGGCGAUUGGCCGGGUGCGUGUGUGCGCGGUGACGCGUGCCGCGGCGGUGCGGGUCCCGAUUGCUGCAGCCGCUUGUCAGUGUGACGAAGAUUGGCACCCAGAUUCCUGUUCAUGCAGCUGAGGAUCGCAUUAAUCCUUUUGGCCACAGUAUCUCACUGGAAGCUCAUGUUAUGGUGAUUAUCCAUCAGGACCCCCAGUUCUUUUUCAGAGUUGAUGCUUCCCAGGAUAGAUCCCCCUCCUGUGUGUAUCUGCUAUCUUGUGCAGCAAUGAGCCUGGAAUUCUAUCUGCUGGAAUAAGACAAUGGCCUCUACGUCCAGUUGAAAUAAAGGGAAUGUGUUCUCACUUGUGAUGAUUUGACAUUAUUAACCCUUCAUUAACCAUGAUGGCAACACAGACAUUAAGUAUAGACAACUAUCAAGAUGGACAAGUGAGAGCAUUUUUUCUCCUCUAUGUAUUGCAUUACUAUUAGCAAGUGAAAAAUGACCUUUUUUGUUUUAGGUUAGGCUCUAUAUGUGAUGUGAUAUGAUGUUGCAUCUUUGAGCAGUGGUUCCUAAAACUGCAUUUAAAUUAACGUUAGUUAGGGGCCAAGUCAUGCCAUUGAUCCGCACUCUGAAGACCUGUUCUCCGUUAUUGCUAUAUGCUAGUCUGAGCAGUAGGUACAAAUCUUCCUGCCAGUAGAUGGAGACAGUGUUAACUGUCAGAAGAAAAACUUGAGUUGUUGCUUCCCCUACAAAGAGGCCUGGUUAGCUGAACAGUCAGCUCUUUUAUUUCCAAAGAGGCAAUUCUCUAGAUUGCUAUCUUCUGUUUGGAGUACCUCCUUCUUUUAUUUUGGAGAGCUUUUUUUAUCCAAAAACUCUUUUCUUUGACAGGUUUACUUAGUUUAGAAUACUUGUGUGCCUUGGUAAAGAGCUGGUUGCAGGAUGAAUAAAAAUCAAUGAUUUUCAAAAA